rnacentral:rRNA from 1 species
GAAGGAUCAUUAAUUAUGUUAAAGCGCCUUACCUUAGGGUUUCCUCUGGGGUAAGUGAUUGCUUCUACACUGUGAAAAUUUGGCUGAGAGACUCAGACUGGUCAUGGGUAGACCUAUCUGGGGUUUGAUCGAUGCCACUCCUGGUUUCAGGAGUACCCUUCAUAAUAAACCUAGAAAUUCAGUAUUAUAAAGUUUAAUAAAAAACAACUUUUAACAAUGGAUCUCUUGGUUCUCGCAUCGAUGAAGAACGUAGCAAAGUGCGAUAACUAGUGUGAAUUGCAUAUUCAGUGAAUCAUCGAGUCUUUGAACGCAGCUUGCACUCUAUGGUUUUUCUAUAGAGUACGCCUGCUUCAGUAUCAUCACAAACCCACACAUAACAUUUGUUUAUGUGGUAAUGGGUCGCAUCGCUGUUUUAUUACAGUGAGCACCUAAAAUGUGUGUGAUUUUCUGUCUGGCUUGCUAGGCAGGAAUAUUACGCUGGUCUCAGGAUCUUUUUCUUUGGUUCGCCCAGGAAGUAAAGUACAAGAGUAUAAUCCAGCAACUUUCAAACUAUGAUCUGAAGUCAGGUGGGAUUACCCGCUGAACUUA